UACGAAGGGGGCUAGCGUUGCUCGGAAUCACUGGGCGUAAAGCGCACGUAGGCGGAUUGCUAAGUCAGGGGUGAAAUCCUGGAGCUCAACUCCAGAACUGCCUUUGCUACUGGCGACCUUGAGUCCGGGAGAGGUGAGUGGAACUGCGAGUGUAGAGGUGAAAUUCGUAGAUAUUCGCAAGAACACCAGUGGCGAAGGCGGCUCACUGGCCCGGUACUGACGCUGAGGUGCGAAAGCGUGGGGAGCAAACAGG
rnacentral:rRNA from 1 species